rnacentral:rRNA from 1 species
CGCGUAGGUGGCUUGUCAGGUCCGAUGUGAAAUCCUGGGGCUCAACUCCAGGCGUGCAUUGGAAACCGGCUUGCUAGAGUCUGGGAGAGGAGAGUGGAAUUCCUGGUGUAGCGGUGAAAUGCGUAGAUAUUAGGAGGAACACCGGUAGCGAAGGCGGCUCUCUGGAACAGUACUGACACUGAGGCGCGAAAGCUAGGGGAGCGAACA